rnacentral:rRNA from 1 species
AAGCGUUAUCCGAAUCACUGGGCGUAAAGGACGCGUAGCGGAUUAUCAAGUCCUGUGAAAUCCUAUGCUUACCAUAGAACCUGCUUGGAACUGAUAAUCUAGAGUGGGGAGAGGCAGAUGAAUUGGUGGUGUAGGGGUAAAAUCCGUAGAGAUCACCAGAAUACCCAUUGCGAAGGCGAUCUGCUGGAACUCAACUGACGCUAAUGCGUGAAAGCGUGGGGAGCAAACAGGAUUAGAUACCCUGGUAGUCACGCCCUAAACGAUGUAUACUAGUUGUUGCUAAGCUAGUCUUGGCAGUAAUGCACCUAACGGAUUAAGUAUACCGCCUGGGGAGUACGGUCGCAAGAUUAAAACUCAAAGGAAUAGACGGGGACCCGCACAAGCGGUGGAGCAUGUGGUUUAAUUCGAAGAUACGCGAAGAACCUUACCCGGACUUGAUAUCUAACAAAUCAUCUAGAGAUAGAAGAGUGUCUGCUUGCAGAAAUGUUAAGACAGGUGCUGCACGGCUGUCGUCAGCUCGUGUCGUGAGAUGUUGGGUUAAGUCCCGCAACGAGCGCAACCCACGUCAUUAGUUGCUAACAGUUAGGCUGAGCACUCUAAUGAGACUGCCUUCGUAAGGAGGAGGAAGGUGUGGACGACGUCAAGUCAUCAUGGCCCUUAUGUCCGGGGCGACACACGUGCUACAAUGGCAUAUACAAUGAGAAGCAAUAUCGCGAGAUGGAGCAAAUCUAUAAAAUAUGUCCCAGUUCGGAUUGGAGUCUGCAACUCGACUCCAUGAAGCCGGAAUCGCUAGUAAUCGUAGAUCAGCCAUGCUACGGUGAAUACGUUCCCGGGUCUUGUACUCACCGCCCGUCACACCAUGGGAGUUGAUUCACUCGAAG